UUGCGCCCGCCAGCACUCUGGCGGGCAUGCCUGUCCGAGCGUCAUUUCAACCCUCAGCACCCCUUCGGGGGUGCCUGGCGUUGGGGAUCGGCCCGCCUCCGCGCGGGCCGGCCCCGAAUCCCAGUGGCGGCCCCACAGCGAGCUCCCCUGCGCAGUAGCGAUACCUCGCAGCCGGACGAGCGUGGCGGCCACGCCGUAAAACACCCCACUUCUUCAAGGUUGACCUCGGAUCAGGUAGGAAUACCCGCUGAACUUAAGCAUAUCAAUAAGCGGAGGAAAAGAAACCAACAGGGAUUGCCUCAGUAACGGCGAGUGAAGCGGCAACAGCUCAAAUUUGAAAUCUGGCCCCCCGGCCCGAGUUGUAAUUUGCAGAGGAUGCUUCUGGCGACGCGCCUUCCGAGUUCCCUGGAACGGGACGCCACAGAGGGUGAGAGCCCCGUCCGGUCGUGCGCCUAGCCUGUGUGAAGCUCCUUCGACGAGUCGAGUAGUUUGGGAAUGCUGCUCUAAAUGGGAGGUAUACGUCUUCUAAAGCUAAAUACCGGCCAGAGACCGAUAGCGCACAAGUAGAGUGAUCGAAAGAUGAAAAGCACUUUGAAAAGAGGGUUAAAUAGUACGUGAAAUUGCUGAAAGGGAAGCGCUUAUGACCAGACUUGGGCCCGGUGAAUCACCCAGCGUUCUCGCUGGUGCACUUUGCCGGCCCAGGCCAGCAUCAGUUCGCGCCGGGGGAUAAAGGCUUCGGGAAUGUAGCUCCCUCGGGAGUGUUAUAGACCGUUGCGCAAUACCCUGGGGCGGACUGAGGUACGCGUUCUGCAAGGAUGC
rnacentral:rRNA from 1 species